rnacentral:hammerhead_ribozyme from 1 species
GUUUAUCUGACGAGUCGCAAAUAGGAGGAAACUUGAGUUCUGGAU